ACUGUUACAGAAUUAGUCGGACUUCACUCGAAUUCGGAUGAAAAUUCAGACACCUGCGCUAUGAUUCGCAAUCUGUGUUUCAUUUGUCUGAUCGCUGUUGUACACUCUGUACUGGGAGAAUCGACCCAGAGCUACAAAGAUGCUGUCACACCGCUUGCAAACGAAUGCAUCCCUCAGGUUGGUGCAUCCGACGAUGAUUUCCAGGCGGUGCUCAACAGGAAUCGUCUUGAGACUCGGCCCGCUAAGUGUUUGCUGGCCUGUGUGUUCGAGAAGAUGGGGGCCUUCUCAGCCGAUGGACGCCUGCUGAACGGGGACAACAUCAUGCCCAUCAUAGACAGACUGUACGGAUUCAAGGAGUACCAAUCGGUCCUGCGGGCCCAACUCGUGCGCAACUGCGUCGAUCAAGUGAACGGCAAAGACACUGACCAAUGCGAACUGAUUGCGCAGACCCUGCACUGUAUCAUCGAACAACAGUGACACAGGAUUCGAACACGGACCUACCAACCAUUAAGUAAGAUUUUGCUGUGAGGUUAAAGCCCCCACUGAUGUUAUCUUCAAUUGGUAUACCAAGGAGCACAACUCUCACUGGCCUCAUGCACUUGCUGUAGAAGCUGUUUCAGACAUUUCUCAUACUCUAUGACAGCAGUAUAAAUACUGUACAUGAGUAGAGCGGAGCUUCUAAUAAAUAUGAAAAUUUUAA